rnacentral:lncRNA from 1 species
UUAGCAAGAAUAUCCGCAGCCUUGUUACAUUGUCGGUUCGUCCAAACGAAGUAGCAUUCAUCAAACUUGUUUUUCCAAUAGCGAAUAUCUCUCAUCCAGUUGAAAGCUGCAAAGUUGGAUUGCUUUCCAUUUAUGAUCGCUACUACUUCUUUGUUAUCUCCCUCAAAAUACACCUUCUUAUAUCCUUUACUCCAGCAGCUUUGCAUUGCCAUGGUGAGCGCUUGAAACUCACUUUCUAGAGGGUUGUUUGUGACUUUACCAACAGCCUGGCCUGCCCCAAGGAAUCUACCAAAGUCGCUUCUUAAUAUCCAGCCCCCUUUGAACGUGAGAUCUCUGACGUAAGACCCGUCGUAGUUACACUU